UACGUAGGGUCGCAAGCGUUGUCCGGAAUUAUUGGGCGUAAAGGGCUCGUAGGCGGUCCAUCGCGUCGGGAGUGAAAAGCUGGGGCUUAACCCCAGUCCUGCUUCCGAUACGGGUGGACUAGAGGUAGGUAGGGGAGAACGGAAUUCCUGGUGUAGCGGUGAAAUGCGCAGAUAUCAGGAGGAACACCGGUGGCGAAGGCGGUUCUCUGGGCCUUACCUGACGCUGAGGAGCGAAAGCAUGGGGAGCAAACAGG
rnacentral:rRNA from 1 species